AUGCAGCUCUGGACGAUCGAGGGCGCGCUCGAGGCCAUCGGUGACAAGGUCAUCGUCGACCGCCUCGACAGUCAGACCCACGAGCGCGUCGACACCAAGUUGUUCGCUUGCUGGGUCUGGUGCUGGGAUAUCGCCCACAUCCCCACGAAGCGCACAAUUUGGAAGCACGCCCGGGGCGCGGGACGCGUCGACGAGAUGGUGGGCUACUCCCCGCCGAGCCGCGCCGUCGCGCCUCCGCCAGAGCUGCUACAGUACGAUCUGCUCAUCCACCUCGACCGCGUAGAAGACUGGACCCCGCUCUCGCCUCGCUCCUCCAACUCGCCGCAGAGCGGCGUCCCCUCUGAUGACGACGAGCCCGACGAACGCCCCCUCCCACGGAUCGAGACGGGCGUCUGGGCGGAACGCGUGGAGGAUGGCCAGUCGGCGGCCGCCCCAGCGCCUACCCUGCGUCCCCAACCCCGCGUCGCCUCCACGGGGUGCAGAGGCAUGCCGGCCACUGAGGGCCGGCGCGAUGACGACGGAGGCGACCCCGGGUACCAGAGGCGGAGCUAG
rnacentral:rRNA from 1 species